rnacentral:misc_RNA from 1 species
AACAGAUGAGCCAAAUUAUGUUGGUAAGUAAAUUAUAAAAUUCAGUCUAUACUUUGUAUUAAUACCUUAACCUCUAGUUUACCAUAAAACUUGGUCAGCCUAGAAGUGGAACAAUUGAAGGAACUUUAUGCAUUUUGGGAGGGCAAAGGUGUGAGGAGAGGUUUACUUAGGUCAAUUUUGAAAGGAGGAUGAUAAAAUCUUGUAGGUAGAGGUGACAAUAUUUGACCUGAACUCCUUCAAAGAAAUAAGGUCAUCUGACCUGAAAAUUUUACUGUUAAUUGGGUCAGGACUCAAGUAAUAUGAAUGACCUGAAAAAAGUUCUAUUUUUAAACUGAAAAAAUGGGGAAAAAAUGACCUUGAAAUGUAAAAAACUCCCAAAAUAAUUGAAAAUGUAAGUCGAAUAAUCCAAAUGAUUUGAAAUGAAUCCCUAUAAGUAGACUUAUGGGGUGAUCUAGAUUCUAGCCUGACCUAACCCAUUUGCUACCUUCAUCUGAAGCAUUUAUGCUCCAUCUUGUGCAUGCAAGAGGGAGACAGACAUGAAAUUGGAACUUUCUUGGUAUGGAAUUUAAAAACUCAAAAGAGCAUGCAUAUAAAGAAAGGGGGAAAAAAAGAAGGAAAUGCUUAUAUGCUUCAAGAAAUAAUUAUUUUUGCAUAAGCGUUUAAUUUUUUCGAGCAGGAGAAGGAUUUGCCAUGA